CCAGGCCAGUCCCAGGCGGACUCGAGUAGCCUGGAGCAGGAGAAGUACCUGCAGGCUGUGGUCAGCUCCAUGCCCCGCUACGCCGACGCGUCGGGACGCAACACGCUUAGCGGCUUCUCCUCAGCCCACAUGGGCAGUCACGUUCCCAGCCCCAGAGCCAGGGUCACCACGCUGUCCAACCCCAUGGCGGCCUCGGCCUCCAGACGGACCGCACCCCGAGGUAAGUGGGGCAGUGUCCGGACCAGUGGACGCAGCAGUGGCCUUGGCACCGAUGUGGGCUCCCGGCUAGCUGGCAGAGACGCGCUGGCCCCACCCCAGGCCAACGGGGGCCCUCCCGACCCGGGCUUCCUGCGUCCGCAGCGAGCAGCCCUCUAUAUCCUUGGGGACAAAGCCCAG
rnacentral:lncRNA from 1 species